GACGAACGCUGGCGGCGUGCUUAACACAUGCAAGUCGAACGGAAAGGCCCUGCUUUUGUGGGGUGCUCGAGUGGCGAACGGGUGAGUAACACGUGAGUAACCUGCCCUUGACUUUGGGAUAACUUCAGGAAACUGGGGCUAAUACCGGAUAGGAGCUCCUGCUGCAUGGUGGGGGUGGGAAAGUUUCGGCGGCUGGGGAUGGACUCGCGGCUUAUCAGCUUGUUGGUGGGGUAGUGGCUUACCAAGGCUUUGACGGGUAGCCGGCCUGAGAGGGUGACCGGCCACAUUGGGACUGAGAUACGGCCCAGACUCCUACGGGAGGCAGCAGUGGGGAAUAAUGCACAAUGGGCGGAAGCCUGAUGCAGCAACGCCGCGUGCGGGAUGACGGCCUUCGGGUUGUAAUCCGCUUUCGCCUGUGACGAAGCGUGAGUGACGGUAAUGGGUAAAGAAGCACCGGCUAACUACGUG
rnacentral:rRNA from 1 species